rnacentral:rRNA from 2 species
UUUUAUGAGAGUUUGAUCCUGGCUCAGGACGAACGCUGGCGGCGUGCCUAAUACAUGCAAGUCGUACGCUUCUUUUUCCACCGGAGCUUGCUCCACCGGAAAAAGAAGAGUGGCGAACGGGUGAGUAACACGUGGGUAACCUGCCCAUCAGAAGGGGAUAACACUUGGAAACAGGUGCUAAUACCGUAUAACAAUCGAAACCGCAUGGUUUUGAUU